GGUUUUAUAGUCAAUAACAUGAUAUCAGACUGCAAUUCUGAAGGAGUAAACUUGUUUACUAAGGCCU
rnacentral:tRNA from 1 species